AUGGUUUUCAAGGAACUACCAGAUGUAGCAACGGUCUCCCUGAAAGAAGUGCAUCUCCCACCCUCUAACUUGCACCUGCAAUUUGCUCAACUCCUUCAGAGCGAGACCGGAGCGGACGUCACAUUUCUCGUGUCCGGUGAGUCUUUUGCUGCGCACAAGCUCAUCCUCGCCGCAAGGUCCACUGUUUUUAUGGCCGAGUUCUUUGGAGACAUGAAGGAGAAGUGCUCUCAGAGUGUGGAGAUCGAGGACAUGGAGGCUACCGUAUUCAAGGCCCUUCUUCAGUUCAUCUACACCGACACCGUGCCAGAAUUCGGACAACAGGUAGAGGCAGAUGUGGAGGCCAUCUAUACCGACACAGUGCCAGAAUUCGGACAGCAGGAGGCGGCGGUGACGGUGAUGGCUCAGCAUCUCCUUGCUGCCGCUGACAGGUAUGGACUGGACAGGCUCAAGCUCAUUUGUGCAGGCGAGCUCUCUGGUGGCAUCAACGUCAACACAGCAGCGACAACUUUGGCUUUAGCCGACCUGCACAACUGCCCGGAGCUCAAGGCGAGGUGUGUUGAGUCCAUCAUCAGAACUUGUGCCGCUCUUGAUGCUGUGUUGGCGACAGAGGGGUAUAAGCACCUGGAGGCAAGCUGCCCUUUGGUGGUGAUUGACCUUUUCAAGGCUGCGCGUGGGAGAAAAAAUUGA
rnacentral:rRNA from 1 species